AUUGAACGCUGGCGGCAUGCCUUACACAUGCAAGUCGAACGGCAGCAUGGAGAGCUUGCUCUCUGAUGGCGAGUGGCGAACGGGUGAGUAAAGCAUCGGAACGUACCGUGUAGUGGGGGAUAACGUAGCGAAAGUUACGCUAAUACCGCAUACGCACUGAGGUGGAAAGCAGGGGAUCGUAAGACCUUGCGCUAUACGAGCGGCCGAUGUCAAAUUAGCUAGUUGGUAGGGUAAAGGCCUACCAAGGCGACGAUCUGUAGCGGGUCGGAGAGGAUGAUCCGCCACACUGGGACUGAGACACGGCCCAGACUUCUACGGGAGGCAGCAGUGGGGAAUUUUGGACAAUGGGGGCAACCCUGAUCCAGCCAUGCCGCGUGAGUGAAGAAGGCCUUCGGGUUGUAAAGCUCUUUCGGCCGGGAAGAAAUCGCACAGGCUAAUACCCUGUGUGGAUGACGGUACCGGCAUAAGAAGCACCGGCUAACUACGUGCCAGCCGCCGCGGUAA
rnacentral:rRNA from 1 species